CAGUCGCCGCGGUAAUACGUAGGGUGCGAGCGUUAAUCGGAAUUACUGGGCGUAAAGCGUGCGCAGGCGGUUCGUUAAGACAGAUGUGAAAUCCCCGGGCUCAACCUGGGAACUGCAUUUGUGACUGGCAGGCUAGAGUAUGGCAGAGGGGGGUGGAAUUCCGCGUGUAGCAGUGAAAUGCGUAGAUAUGCGGAGGAACACCGAUGGCGAAGGCAGCCCCCUGGGCCAAUACUGACGCUCAUGCACGAAAGCGUGGGGAGCAAACAGGAUUAGAGACCCCCGUAGUCCCUGUCUCUUAUAC
rnacentral:rRNA from 1 species